rnacentral:rRNA from 1 species
AGAGUUUGAUCCUGGCUCAGAGCGAACGCUGGCGGCAGGCUUAACACAUGCAAGUCGAGCGGGCACUUCGGUGUCAGCGGCAGACGGGUGAGUAACACGUGGGAACGUACCCUUUGGUUCGGAAUAACGCUGGGAAACUAGCGCUAAUACCGGAUACGCCCUUUUGGGGAAAGGCUUGCUGCCGAAGGAUCGGCCCGCGUCUGAUUAGCUAGUUGGUGGGGUAAUGGCCUACCAAGGCGACGAUCAGUAGCUGGUCUGAGAGGAUGAUCAGCCACACUGGGACUGAGACACGGCCCAGACUCCUACGGGAGGCAGCAGUGGGGAAUAUUGGACAAUGGGCGCAAGCCUGAUCCAGCCAUGCCGCGUGAGUGAUGAAGGCCUUAGGGUUGUAAAGCUCUUUUGUCCGGGACGAUAAUGACGGUACCGGAAGAAUAAGCCCCGGCUAACUUCGUGCCAGCAGCCGCGGUAAUACGAAGGGGGCUAGCGUUGCUCGGAAUCACUGGGCGUAAAGGGCGCGUAGGCGGCCAUUCAAGUCGGGGGUGAAAGCCUGUGGCUCAACCACAGAAUUGCCUUCGAUACUGUUUGGCUUGAGUAUGGUAGAGGUCGGUGGAACUGCGAGUGUAGAGGUGAAAUUCGUAGAUAUUCGCAAGAACACCAGUGGCGAAGGCGGCCGACUGGACCAUUACUGACGCUGAGGCGCGAAAGCGUGGGGAGCAAACAGGAUUAGAUACCCUAGUAGUCC